GCUCACCGUCGGGGACGCUGCUCGAGGAGCUGCGCUGUCUCUCCCGCGCCGCAACCUUCGCCCUCGCCGCCGCCAUGAUCUGCGCGAUCUCCGGCGAGGUGCCGGACGAGCCGGUGGUGUCGAAGAAGUCGGGGCUUCUCUUCGAGCGGCGGCUCAUCGAGCGCUACAUUGAGGACCAUGGCAAGUGCCCCAUCACCAAGGAGGAGCUUACUAUGGAUGAUAUCGUGUCGGUCAAGAC